rnacentral:rRNA from 1 species
UACGUAGGGGGCAAGCGUUGUCCGGAUUUAUUGGGCGUAAAGAGCGUGUAGGCGGCCUGACAGGUCUGCUGUGAAAACUCGAGGCUCAACCUCGAGAUGUCGGCGGAAACCGUCUGGCUAGAGUCCGGAAGAGGAGAGUGGAAUUCCUGGUGUAGCGGUGAAAUGCGUAGAUAUCAGGAGGAAUACCUAUGGCGAAAGCAGGUAUCUGGGCCAUCACUGACGCUGAGAUGCGAAAGCUAGGGGAGCAAACAGG